rnacentral:lncRNA from 10 species
CAGAAAAGCUGGGAUACAUGAAGACUGCCAUCCCUUGAGUCACUUGCCCUGUAGCUGCCACUGUUGGAAAAGGGCUUGCUUCUGUGUCCUUGUGCCCACUUUGAAAAUCCCUGGGAAGUCCUUGGAGUCAGAUGAGCAGGCCUCCGCCACUCUGCCAAAAAGUCUGUUCAAUCAGGAGUCCCCAACCCCUGAGCCAUGGACUGAUAUGGAGCUAUGGUCUGUUAGGAACUGGGCUGCCCAGGAGGAGCAAUGGUGCUUCUACAAUUUCCUUAUAGGAGGAGUGAAGAGUAAGCAUUUGGAUUGGACCAGGAUUUGGAGAACUUGUCAUGUUGCUCUACGUGCAUAUGAAAUACAUCAUUGUAACUUAGAAUGUGAAUUACAGAACAAACAUGAAAGUUAGAAAAAUAUUCUAAACAUAUUUUUAUGA